CUUCCAUCCAGAUCUUUGCAUGUUCUGUCCAGCAAGUUCUCUCUCCAUGAAGACCAUACCACCUAAAGUGACCCCAUCUCAGUCUGUCUGUUGGUGAGUUUGUAUUUACUAUUUAGCACUUACCAUAUUUGAGGUUGUUUAUUUUUUUCUUAACUUGUUACCUCUGUGCUUCUCCCAAGCUCCAUGAGUGGAGACAUAGGCUCAUAAGCUAUGUUCUCUACCUAGUAUAGUGCCUGGACCUUAGUGGGCACUUCAUCAAUAAAUGAAUAAUAAAUAAACAAUUCACUAAGCCAUGAAAAACAAACAUCUUUUAAAAAAC
rnacentral:lncRNA from 1 species